rnacentral:rRNA from 1 species
UUACCGAGUUUACAACUCCCAAACCCCUGUGAACAUACCUUAAUGUUGCCUCGGCGGAUCAGCCCGCGCCCCGUAAAACGGGACGGCCCGCCAGAGGACCCAAACUCUAAUGUUUCUUAUUGUAACUUCUGAGUAAAACAAACAAAUAAAUCAAAACUUUCAACAACGGAUCUCUUGGUUCUGGCAUCGAUGAAGAACGCAGCAAAAUGCGAUAAGUAAUGUGAAUUGCAGAAUUCAGUGAAUCAUCGAAUCUUUGAACGCACAUUGCGCCCGCUGGUAUUCCGGCGGGCAUGCCUGUUCGAGCGUCAUUUCAACCCUCAAGCCCCCGGGUUUGGUGUUGGGGAUCGGCUCUGCCCUUCUGGGCGGUGCCGCCCCCGAAAUACAUUGGCGGUCUCGCUGCAGCCUCCAUUGCGUAGUAGCUAACACCUCGCAACUGGAACGCGGCGCGGCCAUGCCGUAAAACCCCAACUUCUGAAUGUUGACCUCGGAUCAGGUAGGAAUACCCGCUGAACUUAAGCAUAUCAAUAAGCGGAGGAAAAGAAACCAACAGGGAUUGCCCUAGUAACGGCGAGUGAAGCGGCAACAGCUCAAAUUUGAAAUCUGGCUUUCGGGCCCGAGUUGUAAUUUGUAGAGGAUACUUUUGAUGCGGUGCCUUCCGAGUUCCCUGGAACGGGACGCCAUAGAGGGUGAGAGCCCCGUCUG